rnacentral:misc_RNA from 1 species
AAGUCGUAACAAGGUUUCCGUAGGUGACGUCCGAAAGGUUCGCCUGCUGGAGCUUUGGCCCAGCGACUCGAAACAAGUGCUACUCAGGUCGACUUCGGUCGGCAAUGUCACCACCGUGAGCCGGGUCAGUCACCGGCAGUCCCCCGUGUUCGCGGGGGGUUCACAGGUCAGAUGGUGCCAGCCGCCCCCCCGCGGGGGGCCGGUCCAGACAUGAUCGGCCCCGGGCGCCUCCACAUGCCCGGGAAUCAGUGGAACCUGCGGAAGGAUCAUUAAAGAGAGGGACGUUCGCGUUCCCGGGGGCUUCGGCCCCUCCUCUUCACCCCCGGUGUUUACCGUUACCACAUUCGUUGCUUUGGCAGGCCUUGGGGUCGUGCUCAUGCCGCCCUGGGGGUUUCCCCUGGGGGGCCGAGUGCCCUGGCCGGAAAGCCCCUUUUUAAAAAGUUCUUGGAAUUCCGAGCCCAUGUAGUCUGAGUGAAAACAAAAAUUCAAGCAAAAA